CGGGACGGGUGAGUAAUGUCUGGGAAACUGCCUGAUGGAGGGGGAUAACUACUGGAAACGGUAGCUAAUACCGCAUAACGUCGCAAGACCAAAGAGGGGGACCUUCGGGCCUCUUGCCAUCGGAUGUGCCCAGAUGGGAUUAGCUAGUAGGUGGGGUAACGGCUCACCUAGGCGACGAUCCCUAGCUGGUCUGAGAGGAUGACCAGCACACUGGAACUGAGACACGGUCCAG
rnacentral:rRNA from 1 species